rnacentral:pre_miRNA from 1 species
GGGGGGAGGUCGGAUCCUGGGCUGUGUCCUGGCGCCCUGUGCUCCCGGUCUGUGAUGUUGGAUUCGCGCUCCCGGCCGCACAGCCGCCU